AACGAACGCUGGCGGCAUGCCUAAUACAUGCGAGUCGAACGAGAUCUUCGGAUCUAGUGGCGCACGGGUGCGUAACGCGUGGGAAUCUGCCCUUGGGUUCGGAAUAACUUCUGGAAACGGAAGCUAAUACCGGAUGAUGACGUAAGUCCAAAGAUUUAUCGCCCAAGGAUGAGCCCGCGUAGGAUUAGCUAGUUGGUGGGGUAAAGGCCCACCAAGGCGACGAUCCUUAGCUGGUCUGAGAGGAUGAUCAGCCACACUGGGACUGAGACACGGCCCAGACUCCUACGGGAGGCAGCAGUAGGGAAUAUUGGACAAUGGGCGAAAGCCUGAUCCAGCAAUGCCGCGUGAGUGAUGAAGGCCUUAGGGUUGUAAAGCUCUUUUACCCGGGAUGAUAAUGACAGUACCGGGAGAAUAAGCGCCGGCUAACUCCGUG
rnacentral:rRNA from 1 species